AAAAGACUUAGUCCCAACCUUACCGUUAGUUAUUGCCAGGUACAUACAUGCAAGUAUCUGCACUCCAGUGUAAAUGCCCCUGUCUUGCAAGUAGGCUAAGUCAGGGAGCAGGCAUCAGGCACACCACCGGCCCUUGUGGUAGCCCAAGACGCCUCGCACUAGCCACACCCCCACGGGUAUUCAGCAGUAGUUAAUAUUAAGCAAUGAGCGCAAGCUUGACUUAGCCAUGGCAACAUUAAACCUAGGGUUGGUAAAUCUUGUGCCAGCCACCGCGGUCAUACAAGAGACCCAAAUUAACAGUACACGGCGUAAAGGGUGGUACUUACAGUAUCCUGCAGACUAGGGCAGAAAUGCAAUUAAGCUGUCAUAAGCCGAGAAUGCACCUAAAGCCAUCAUCAAGAUGACCCUAGUACGCGCCACGGCAGACAAACCCCACGAAAGCCAGGGCCCAAACUGGGAUUAGAUACCCCACUAUGCCUGGCCGUAAAUCCCGAUGCCCGCAGCAACCCAUCCGGACAUCCGCCAGAGCACUACGAGCACAAACGCUUGAAACUCUAAGGACUUGGCGGUGCCCUAGACCCACCUAGAGGAGCCUGUCCUGUAAUCGACAACCCACGUUAUACCCGACCACCCCUAGCACAAACAGCCUAUAUACCGCCGUCGCCAGCCCACCUUAUGAGAGCACAACAGUGGGCACAAGAGCCCCUCGCUAACAAGACAGGUCGAGGUAUAGCCCAUGGGGUGGAAGAGAUGGGCUACAUUCUCUAAAAUAGAGAACCUUUAACGGACGGGGGUGUGAAAUCACCCUCCGAAGGCGGAUUUAGCAGUAAAGGGCAGGCCCACAAAACCACCUUUAACAAGGCCCUGGGGCACGUACAUACCGCCCGUCACCCUCCUCGCAAGUCACCGCCACUUAUAACUAAUGUGCCAAUGGACUAAAGAUGAGGUAAGUCGUAACAAGGUAAGUGUACCGGAAGGUGCACUUAGCAUACC
rnacentral:ncRNA from 1 species